UAUCUAGAAGGAAGUCAUUUUGAACUAACUUGUUGCAACAGUGGCAUCCUAUUACAGUACCAUGCUGUAUUUCAGUGAGUUCUUUAGUGUGACCUAUUCUUCCACAAAUGUAUGUAAAGGCAGACUGCAUGGCUAGGUGCUUGAUUUAUACACCUGUGGCAAUGGACUGAAUGAAACAACCAAAUUCAAUGAUUAAGAGGAAACAUGCCGCCAAUGGUGAGCGAGCCACUGAUCAUCCGCUGUAAGGUGAACAGCACUGUAAGAGUGCAGUUUCUAGCCCAGGACGCUAACAGGGAUGCAUUCAGCUUCUCUCUGCUCUUCCCAAGACCACCACAGGCCACCAUAGGCAUUGGUGAUGGUGUUCUGGUUUGGACUCCACUCAACAUUCAGCCUGUACUGCUGACUGUGCAGGUCAGUGAUUACAUGACCAGCUCUCUGCUCAGCCCCAUCCUGCAGCUCUGCAACUGUCUUAAUGGAGGAAGCUGUCAGUAUCAGAGCGUGGCUGAGAACCAUUUGCAGGGAAAGUUUCAGGUUGUGGGGUGUCUAUGCCCAGCAGGUUUCAGUGGCAGAUACUGUGGAAAUAGAACAGACGUGUGUAAAGGCAAACCCUGCUUCCCUGCAGUUGACUGCUUCAGUCAAAGAGAGCCAGACAGCUUCACCUGUGGAGUGUGCCCCCCUCCUACUGUCUCCGAACACAAACAAGGUUACAAGUGCUUUGAGAACGAUUUCUGUCUACCUCCUUUUCCCACCCCCUGUCACAAGAUGGCCAACUGCUACAGCACUGGUUAUAACUACACUUGCAGUUGUAAGCCUGGUUUUAUUGGUGAUGGAAAGGAGUGUACAGAUAUAGAUGAGUGUCAGAAUCCUGCAGCCUGCCCUAACGCCAAGUACGAGUGUGUGAACACACCUGGUUCGUCAUACUGCUCCUGCCGCUACCAGAGCAAUGGGGAGUCUGACGGCUGCGGUGAUUCUGCAAAUCCUACAGGUUGGAACAUUUUCAAUGUAUCCAUGGCCUGGAAUGAUCAAAAGACCGGACAGCAGCGACUAAAACAGUUGGAGCAAAUCCUUUCUAUGGGUUUCCAGAAUAAGUUCUACAAUGUCAGUGUUAUGCCCCCUGACUUAGGACCAAACAGUGGGCUGAGUGAGUACAGAGUCAACGUGUCCAGCGACACUCCUCACUGGUACGUGAAGGAUUACAUGAGCCGGGUCGGACGCUACUAUGGCGUCACAGCAACAUACGUGGAAGACCUAGAUGAGUGCAAAGGCAACGAGACUUUGUGUACUAAGCCAGCUGUUUGUUCCAACACCUAUGGAGGUUACAGAUGUGUAUGUAAUGGCACAGACCUGAAGGAGGCACAGUCUUGCAUUUUAGACAGGGGCAGCCUUAACCACACAAGCUUGGCUGCUGGUAAGAAUCUUGAGGAUAAGAAGCCCCUGAUUCUGGGCCUGGUACUGGGCAUCGGCAUCCCCCUCCUGCUGCUGCUCCUUCUGGCCGCUUUGGCCUGCUUCUGCUGCUCCCGCAGGAAAACCAUCACUGGAGACAUUCCUCACUUAGUACCAGUGUAUGUUCAAGGGCAGUUCAGCUCUCACUUAAACUACGAUGACCCUGCCCUGCACUACAAGUGCCACUGCAGCCCACGUAUCCUUGACAACAUCACACCCCGAUACAUUCAACAUCCGCUCAGCCGUCUGCCUCCUGGAGCUCAUACCUAUCACUGUAAUUGUAACUAAGUGCAAAGCUAAAAAGGUAAACUUUUGUAUCAAAUGUAUAUCAUAUUUAUGGCAUGCUCCUUAAAAACGCAUUCAACCUUAUGAAGCACUGGAUGAGUAAAACACAGGUUGCCCAUUGUAUCACUUUCAAGGUAUCACGGUAUUCUGACACUCACUGUUGCUGUCCAAUAAAGUAUUGAACACUUGUCAUCGUAAUGAUUUUUCACCUUUCAAUACAGACGGUAAAUUAUGUAUUUUUUGCAUUCUGUAAUAUGUAUUUAAUACUUCAAGACAGCCCUAGAAGGAAAGAGAUGGCCC
ensembl:lncRNA